CAGGAUCGGAAGAGAGAUGAUCAGAGCCACGAUCCAGAAGACCUGUGACAGGAAGUGAAGACACACAGAAAGUUUAUUCAUCACGGGGCGAGUUUGAGACGUGAAGAGGAGCGUGGAGGCAUUUUGGAAAAUAAAGAAGAAGGCUGCAGCUGAUGAGAGACUUCCUGUUAGCUCUACUCAAUAUUAAAUGAACAAAAACAAUCAAUUGUACUUAAAGCUUUUCUUAAGAAGAAAGAUGUGUUGCACAUACACCUGCUGCUACCUACCACCACCUCCCACCCAUCCCGGCCCCAAAGAGGAGACUCCAUCGACCCCAGAUACCCCAACUCACUCUUCUUCAGGUUAGCUUGGAGCCCCGCCUUUACCUGCCCCAACAUCUCACUUUGAACGAUGUAGUCAUCCGGAUAUCUGCAUACUGAGAGUGGGACGCAGGACCCGGUCAAUGAGCUGCUGGAAGGGGGUCCACUGGACUGGAGGGGCUCUUGGAUCUGGUGAUGCCUUGCUCUUCCUGAAAGGGGAGGACACCUAUCUGCCAUAGUUUCUCCACCUGACGACUGAGUUCGGCAUCGGGGGUUCCAGUUGGGGUGAAGAGACUCUGGGGGGCAUCCGAUGGCUCCUGAAUAGGGGAGGCCCUUGGAGUGUCCAACCUAAUGAUAAGAAUAAGAAUAAUAAUAAUGAUGCAUGUUAUUUGU